AACGUAGGACGCAAGCGUUUAUCCGGAGUUACUGGGCGUAAAGCGCGGGCAGGCGGUCUGAAACGUCUGAUGUGAAAUCUCCUCGCUCAACGGGGAGAGGCCAUUGGAAACGGUCAGACUGGAGGGCAGUAGAGGUAGGCGGAAUUCCGGGUGGAGUGGUGAAAUGCGGUAGAGAUCCGGAGGAACGACCAGAGGCGAAGGCGGCCUACCUGGGCUGGCACCUGACGCUGAGCCGCGAAAGCGUGGGGAGCAAACAGG
rnacentral:rRNA from 1 species